rnacentral:lncRNA from 1 species
CCAUCCCCAUCCCCAUUCCCAUUCCCAUUCCCAUUCCCACCAUUCCCACCAUUUAUUCCCAUUAUUCCCACCAUCCCCAUUCCCAUUCCCAUUCCCAUUCCCACCAUUCCCACCAUUUAUUCCCAUUAUUCCCACUCCCAUUCCCGUUGUUCCCAUUAUUUCCCUUAUUCCCAUUAUUCCCGUUGUUAUUCCCGUUGUUGUUCCUGCCAUUAUUCCCACUGUUAUUCCCAUUUUUCCCGCUGUCAUUCCCAGUUAUUCCCGGUGUUAUUCCCGCUCCCAUUCCCAUUGUUAUUCCCAUUAUUCCCGUUGUUAUUCCUGUUGUUAUUCCUGCUGUUAUUCCCAUUAUUCCCGUUGUUAUUCCCGCUCCCAUUCCCAUUGUUAUUCCCGUUGUUAUUCCCACUCCCAUUCCCAUUGUUCCCACUGCUAUUCCUGGUUGUUCCCGCUGUUAUUCCUGCUGUCAUUCCUGGUUAUUCCCAUUGUUAUUCCCGCUCCCAUUCCCAUUAUUCCUAUUGUUACUCCCAUUGUUACUCCUGCGGUUAUUCCCACUUUUAUUCCCAGUUAUUCCCGUUGUUAUUCCCAUUGCUGUUAUUUUCAUUCCCGCUGUUAUUCCCGCUCCCAUUCCCAUUGUUAUUCCCGCUGUUAUUCCCCUUGUUAUUCCCAUUCCCGCUGCCGUUAUUCCCGGUUAUUCCCGUUAUUCCCGCUCCCAUUCCCAUUGUUAUUCCCGUUGUUAUUCCCAUUGUUGUCAUUUCUGCUGUUAUUCUCAUUCCCAUUGUUAUUCCCAUUGUUAUUCCCAUUGUUAUUCCCAUUGUUAUUCCCACUGUUAUUCCUGUUAUUCCCAUUGUUAUUCCCAUUAUUCCCAUCGCUGUUAUUCCCGUUCCCAUUCCCGUUGUUAUUCCCGUUGUUAUUCCCGUUAUUCCCAGUUAUUCCCGCUCCCAUUCCUGCUGCCUUUAUUCCCGCUGUUGUUAUUCCUGUUGUUGUUAUUCCCGUUGUUAGUCCCAUUGUUAGUCCCAUUGUUAUUCCCAUUGUUAUUCCCAUUGUUAUUCCCAUUCCCGCUGUUGCCGCUGUUCCUGCUGUUGUUAUUCCCGUUAUUCCCGCUGUUCCCGCUGUUAUUCCGGCUGUUCCCAUUGUUAUUCCCGCUGUUAUUCCCGCUGUUCCCGUUGUUAUUCCGGCUGUUCCUGCUGUUAUUCCCGCUGUUCCCGCUGUUAUUCCUGCUGUUCCUGGGGUUAUUCCCGCUGUUAUUCCCGCUGUUCCCGGGGUUAUUCCGGCUGUUAUUCCCGGGGUUAUUCCCGCUGUUAUUCCGGCUGUUCCCGGGGUUAUUCCGGCUGUUAUUCCGGCUGUUAUUCCCGCUGUUGUCUCUCACUUGGCCAGGGCCAUCCCGUGUUUGUCCAGCUCCAGGUUCAGCUCCGAGAGCAGAAUUCCGGCUUCCACCUUCACCUGCAGCUUCUCCUUGUCCACCUGCAACAGACGAUUCCCAAAAAACCCCCGAACGUU